rnacentral:rRNA from 1 species
GACGAACGCUGGCGGCGUGCUUAACACAUGCAAGUCGAACGGAAAGGCCCUGCUUGCAGGGUACUCGAGUGGCGAACGGGUGAGUAACACGUGGGUGAUCUGCCCUGCACUUCGGGAUAAGCCUGGGAAACUGGGUCUAAUACCGGAUAGGAGCCAUUUUAGUGUGAUGGUUGGAAAGUUUUUUCGGUGUAGGAUGAGCUCGCGGCCUAUCAGCUUGUUGGUGGGGUAAUGGCCUACCAAGGCGGCGACGGGUAGCCGGCCUGAGAGGGUGGACGGCCACAUUGGGACUGAGAUACGGCCCAGACUCCUACGGGAGGCAGCAGUGGGGAAUAUUGCACAAUGGGCGCAAGCCUGAUGCAGCGACGCCGCGU